UACGUAGGGUGCGAGCGUUGUCCGGAAUUAUUGGGCGUAAAGAGCUCGUAGGCGGUUUGUCGCGUCUGCUGUGAAAACCCGAGGCUCAACCUCGGGCCUGCAGUGGGUACGGGCAGACUAGAGUGCGGUAGGGGAGUCUGGAAUUCCUGGUGUAGCGGUGAAAUGCGCAGAUAUCAGGAGGAACACCGGUGGCGAAGGCGGGACUCUGGGCCGAUACUGACGCUGAGGAGCGAAAGCGUGGGGAGCAAACAGG
rnacentral:rRNA from 1 species